rnacentral:rRNA from 1 species
AUUGAACGAUGGCGGCAUGCUUUACACAUGCAAGUCGAACGGCAGCAUGACCUAGCUUGCUAGGUUGAUGGCGAGUGGCGAACGGGUGAGUAAUGCAUCGGAACGUAUCCAAGAGUGGGGGAUAACGCAUCGAAAGGUGUGCUAAUACCGCAUACGCCCUGAGGGGGAAAGUGGGGGUCCGUAAGGCCUCACGCUGAUGGAGCGGCCGAUGGCAGACUAGCUAGUUGGUGAGGUAAAGGCGCACCAAGGCGACGAUCUGUAGCUGGUCUGAGGGGAAGAUCAGGCAGACGGGAACUGAGACACGGUCCAGACACCUACGGGAGGCAGCAGUGGGGAAUUUUGGACAAUGGGGGCAACCCUGAUCCAGCCAUGCGGCGUGAGUGAAGAAGGCCUUCGGGUUGUAAAGCGCUGUCGCAAGGGAAGAAAACUUAGGUCCUAAUACGGCCUGAGGAUGACGGUACCUUGAUAAGAAGCACCGGCUAACUACGUGCCAGCCGCCGCCGUAA